rnacentral:misc_RNA from 1 species
AUUUUUUCUCUCCCAAAUCUUCCUUGUUCUCUGCAAAAUCUCAGCAAAACUCAAUUUUGGGAGAUGGGUAUUUCAAGAAACUCAGGUGGGGUUGGAGGAGUAGUGGGUGGUGUUGAUAUGCUGAGUGAAAGAGCAAGAAUGAUGAGAGAUUCAUUGCAGAAGAGUCAGUCUAUUACAGACAAUGUUGUGAACAUUUUGGGUUCCUUUGAUCAUCGUCUUUCUGCUCUUGAAACUGCUAUGCGUCCUACUCAGAUAAGGACUCAUGCUAUUAGGACGGCUCAUGGAAACAUUGACAAGGCUUUAAAGGCUGCUGAGGUUAUACUGUCCCAAUUUGAUAUUUCUCGUCAGGCGGAAAUUAAAAUACUGAAAGGGCCACAUGAGGACCUGGAAAGUUAUCUUCAAGCAAUUGACCAGCUGAGAGACAAUAUUCGCUUCUUCAGCAACAACAAAAGCUUCAAGAGUAGUGAUGGAGUACUCAAUCAUGCUAAUAGUUUGCUGACCAAGGCUAUUUUAAAGCUUGAAGAGGAGUUUAAGCAGCUCUUGUUAUCUUAUAGUAAACCCAUUGAACCUGAUCGGCUGUUUGAGUGUCUCCCAAAUUCAAUGCGACCACCGUCAUCACCUGGACACCAGGACUCUAGUGGUAAGAGUCAUCUGUCCAAUAGUAAUGCGGAGCAAGAUGGUGCAGGAAAUGCUGUCUUCACACCGCCAACUCUUAUACCUCCAAGGAUCCUGCCUUUACUACAUGAUUUAGCCCAACAGAUGGUUCAAGCUGGCCAUCAACAACAAUUUAUAAAAAUAUACAGGGAUACACGUUCUCCCGUACUGGAAGAAAGUCUUCGCAGUUUGGGAGUGGAAAAACUUAGCAAAGAUGAUGUUCAGAAGAUGCAAUGGGAAGUUCUGGA